rnacentral:rRNA from 1 species
UACAGAGGGGGCAAGCGUUAUUCGGAAUUAUUGGGCGUAAAGGGCGCGUAGGCGGCUUUUCAAGUGACGGGUGAAAUCCCUCGGCUUAACCGAGGAACUGCCCGUCAGACUGGAAGGCUUGAGACCGGGAGAGGUGAGUGGAAUUCCCAGUGUAGCGGUGAAAUGCGUAGAUAUUGGGAGGAACACCAGUGGCGAAGGCGGCUCACUGGACCGGUACUGACGCUGAGGCGCGAAAGCGUGGGGAGCAAACAGG